CUGCUGCAUUGCUUGCACGGCUUCGACGAGGCCUUUGACCUGCUGCGCCAGCAAGUCAAACUGCUCCGCGUCGACCGCCGCCGCCGGAGGCGGAGGAGGAGAAGGCUGAGAAACUGGAGGGGAGGCCGGAGCCUGAGAUCUGGCCGCGGAGGCCGUGGACCGUCGGGUGGACGCCUUGCGCGGAGGCAUCGAGUGUCGAUCUCGCGGGG
rnacentral:lncRNA from 1 species